rnacentral:rRNA from 1 species
CCAAUAGCGUAUAUUAAAGUUGUUGCAGUUAAAAAGCUCGUAGUUGAAUUUCGGGAUCAGUACGCUGGUCGUGCCUUGGUAUGUACUGGUGUUACUGGUUCCUACCUUCUGACGAACCGUCAUGUCAUUAAUUUGGUGCGGCGGGAAAUCAGGACUGUUACUUUGAAAAAAUUAGAGUGUUUAAAGCAGGCUCGCGCUUGAAUACAUUAGCAUGGAAUAAUGAAAUAGGACGUUCGAUCCUAUUUUGUUGGUUUCUAGGAUUGACGUAAUGAUUAAUAGGGAUAGUUGGGGGCAUUAGUAUUCAAUUGUCAGAGGUGAAAUUCUUGGAUUUAUUGAAGACUAACUACUGCGAAAGCAUUUGCCAAGGAUGUUUUCAUUAAUCAAGAACGAAAGUUAGGGGAUCGAAGACGAUCAGAUACCGUCGUAGUCUUAACCAUAAACUAUGCCGACUAGGGAUCGGAUGAUGUUAAUUUUUUAAUGACUCAUUCGGCGCCUUACG